ensembl:misc_RNA Metazoa_SRP Metazoan signal recognition particle RNA
GCCUGGUGUGGUGGUGCACGCCAGUAGUCCCUGCUACCUGGGGGGCUGAGGCAGAAGAAUUGCUUGAAUCCAGGAGGUCUAGGCUGCAGUGAGCCAAGAUUGUGCCACUGCACUCCAACCUGGGCAACAGAGCAAUAUCCUGUCUCAA